UGCAGCCCUGUCAAAUUCAGUCCCUGCCUCCUCCGUGGUGGGGACCGGCCAGCCGGCUGCCACAGC
rnacentral:snoRNA from 1 species